rnacentral:rRNA from 1 species
GACGAACGCUGGCGGCGUGCUUAACACAUGCAAGUCGAACGGAAAGACCCUGCUUUUGUGGUGUUCUCGAGUGGCGAACGCGUGCGUAACACGUGUGUAACCUGCCCUUCACUUUGGUAUAACUUCAGGAAACUGGGGCUAAUCCCGUAUAGGAUCUCCUGCUCCAUUGUGGGGGUUGGAAAGUCUCGGCGGUUGGGGAUGGACUCGCGGCUUAUCAGCUAGUUGGUGGGGUAGUGGCUUACCAAGGCUUUGGCGGAUAGCCGGCCUGAGAGGGUGACCGGCCACAAGGGGACUGAGAUACGGCGCAGACGCCUACGGGAGGCAGCAGGGGGGAACAUUACACAAUGAGAGGAAGCCGGAUGCAGAAGCGCCGCGGGCGGGAUGACGGCCUUCGGGUUGUAAACCGCUUCCGCCUGUGACGAAGCGGGAGUGACGGUAAUGAGUAAAGAAGCACCGGCUAACUACGUG